rnacentral:pre_miRNA from 10 species
UGUGCGCUGCAGCUGGUGUUGUGAAUCAGGCCGACGACCGACACUUUGAUUACCGGCUACUUCACAACACCAGGGUAGUACCACA